GGAGUUAGCCGGUGCUUCUUCUGUGGGUGAUGUCGUCCCUGCCGGCUAUUAACCCGCAGGCCUUCUUCCCCACUGAAAGUGCUUUACAACCCGAAAGCCUUCUUCACACACGCGGCAUGGCUGGAUCAGGGUUGCCCCCAUUGUCCAAUAUUCCCCACUGCUGCCUCCCGUAGGAGUCUGGGCCGUGUCUCAGUCCCAGUGUGGCUGAUCAUCCUCUCAGACCAGCUACGGAUCGUCGCCUUGGUGAGCCGUUACCUCACCAACCAGCUAAUCCGACAUAGGCUCAUCCGAUAGCGCGAGGCCCGAAGGUCCCCCGCUUUCUCCCGUAGGACGUAUGCGGUAUUAGCCUGGGUUUCCCCAGGUUAUCCCCCACUACCGGGCAGAUUCCUAUGCAUUACUCACCCGUCCGCCGCUCGACGCCUCCUAGCAAGCUAGGAUCGUUUCCGCUCGACUUGCAUGUGUUAGGCCUGCCGCCAGCGUUCAAUCUGAGCCAGAAUCAAACUCUGA
rnacentral:rRNA from 1 species